rnacentral:tRNA from 1 species
UUAAAAUGGCAGAAAUAAUAUGUAACAAGUUUAGAGCUUGCUGAUGAGUUUUUACUCUUUUAUCC